rnacentral:misc_RNA from 1 species
GCUUGAUCAUAAUCUGCAUGCAAUAGCUAGGCCUGGAACUCAAAAUCCCUAAAGCCAAAUCCUAGUCUGAGCACAAACAAUUUUUCAAGAAGCCAAAUAUUAAAUAAUUCAUUGAUGAUAACAGGGCAAGAAUUAGUGCAGUCAGUUAUUAAGAAGAAUCAGAUUCCUGAGAGAGACUAACAAAACAUAAAUUCACUCUCCAAGAGAAUUCAAUAAAACAAUUAAAACUUUUCCGAUAAAACAACGGUUGAAUGUCUGAUAGUUUGAUGAAUUGGCACGAUCCUGGGAGUCAAACAAUAAUUAAUCUAUUCAUAUUGAAUAUGCCCAAAAAGCAAUACUAAUUCACUAUUCAAGAGUUCCAGGAUACCAUUAUUCCAAAUCCCAGUGGAGGGAGGCAAGGAAAUUUAUACAUAGAGUUUAGUACAGUUUGAUUGCUUCUUA